GGGCCGCGAGUAGGCAACCCGGGCUUGGGGCCCCUACAGUUCAGCCGGAUAGCUGCGCACCCAGCUAGUCAGCCUGUCAAGCUGCCUCCUCCUCCGUCAUCUGGCUUGGUCAGCGGCGCCCGGUCCUUCCCCAUGCUGGCACCCCGGACCACGGACAACGCGGUCCCCAUGUCCCAGACCGAGGCUGACCUAGCUCUGCUGCCCGCGCCGUCUCUCUCCACUACGGGGCCACCCCGCAUCGGGCCCCCUCCUCGCAGAGCACGCCGCUUCUCUGGGAAGGCUGAGCCCCGGCCUCGCUCUUCCCGUGUCACCCGCCGCAGCUCAGUCGACUUGGGUCUGCUGAGCUCUUGGUGCCAGCCAGCGACACCCGUUCCGGAACCUCCUGACCCUCCUGACUUUGCUCCUCCGGGUCUCUCGAGUAGCCCACCACCUUGCUUCAAAGAGCUCCCCGAGGGCACGCGGACCCGAGCAGCCCCUGUGAAGACUGUGAAUUCAGUGCAUCCCGAGUUUACGGGAUCUGCAGGAGGCUCACGGUCUGGGGAGCCGCCGAGAGUCUCAGAUGCCGCAGCCCGGGAGCGACAGCGGGAGCAAGAAGAAAAGGAGGACACAGAGACCCAGGCUGUGGCAACAUCCCCAGACGGCCGAUACCUCAAGUUUGACAUUGAGAUUGGACGUGGCUCCUUCAAGACAGUGUAUCGAGGGCUAGACACUGACACCACGGUGGAGGUGGCCUGGUGUGAGCUGCAGACUCGGAAACUGUCUCGGGCUGAGCGGCAGCGCUUCUCCGAAGAGGUGGAGAUGCUCAAGGGGCUGCAGCACCCCAACAUCGUCCGCUUUUAUGACUCCUGGAAGUCGGUGCUGAGGGGCCAGGUUUGCAUCGUGCUGGUCACAGAACUCAUGACCUCGGGCACACUCAAGACGUACCUGAGAAGGUUCCGCGAAAUGAAACCAAGAGUCCUUCAGCGCUGGAGCCGCCAAAUUCUCCGGGGACUUCAUUUUCUACAUUCCCGGGUCCCCCCUAUACUGCACCGGGAUCUCAAGUGUGACAACGUCUUCAUCACAGGCCCUACAGGCUCCGUCAAAAUCGGGGACCUGGGCCUGGCCACGCUCAAGCGCGCCUCCUUCGCCAAAAGCGUCAUUGGGACCCCGGAAUUCAUGGCCCCCGAGAUGUACGAGGAAAAGUACGAUGAGGCAGUGGAUGUGUACGCGUUUGGCAUGUGCAUGCUGGAGAUGGCUACCUCAGAGUAUCCCUAUUCAGAGUGCCAAAAUGCUGCGCAAAUCUACCGCAAGGUCACUUCGGGUACAAAACCGAACAGCUUCUACAAAGUGAAGAUGCCCGAGGUGAAGGAGAUCAUUGAAGGCUGCAUUCGUACCGAUAAGAAUGAGAGGUUCACCAUCCAGGAUCUCCUGGCCCACGCCUUCUUCCGUGAGGAGCGCGGUGUGCACGUGGAGCUGGCGGAGGAGGACGACGGCGAGAAACCCGGGCUCAAGCUCUGGUUGCGUAUGGAGGGCGCGCGACACGGGGGGCGCCCGCGGGACAACCAGGCCAUUGAGUUCCUUUUCCAGUUGGGCCGGGACGCGGCAGAGGAGGUGGCACAGGAGAUGGUAGCCCUGGGGUUGGUUUGUGAAGCUGAUUACCAGCCAGUGGCCCGUGCGGUACGUGAACGGGUUGCUGCCAUCCAGCGAAAGCGUGAGAAGCUUCGAAAAGCUAGGGAGUUGGAAGCUCUCCCACCUGAGCCAGGACCUCUGCCAGCAACUGUUCCCAUGGCUCCUGGUCCCUCAGUUGCCUUCCCCCUAGAACCUGAGGAGCCAGAGGCAGACCAGCACCAGUCUUUCCUCUUCCGCCAUGCCAGCUACUCAUCUACCACUUCGGAUUGUGAGACUGAUGGCUACCUCAGCUCCUCUGGCUUCCUGGAUGCCUCAGACCCUGCCCUUCAGCCCCCUGGGGGGGUGCCAUCCAGCCCCGAUGAGUCCCAUCUCUGCCUACCCUCGGCUUUUGCCUUGUCCAUUCCACGUUCUGGCCCUGGCAGUGAGUUUUCUCCUGGGGACAGCUAUGCCUCAGAUGCAGCAUCAGGCCUCAGCGACAUAGGAGAAGGGAUGGGACAGAUGAGGAGACCUCCAGGGAAGAAUCUCCGGCGUAGACCCCGAUCCCGGCUAAGGGUCACUAGUGUCUCAGACCAGAAUGACAGAGUGGUCGAGUGCCAGCUACAGACUCACAACAGCAAGAUGGUGACUUUCCGAUUUGAUCUGGAUGGGGACAGCCCAGAAGAAAUUGCAGCUGCCAUGGUGUAUAAUGAGUUCAUUUUGCCUUCGGAGAGAGAUGGAUUCCUGAGUCGGAUUCGGGAGAUUAUCCAGCGAGUAGAGACCCUGUUGAAGAGAGAUAAUGGUCCCUCCGAGUCUGCUGAAGAUGCACUAAGCCCCCAGGAGGAGCCACCACCACUGCCUGCCCUCUCAGGCCCCUUCCCAGACCCAUCCACUGCAGAGCCCCAGUACAGCACCUUCCCAGAACAGAGAAGCUGGGCAACCUUCUCCACUUCUCCUGGAACACCCUUGUCUCCUGGAAACCCAUUUUCCCCUGGAACCCCCAUCCUUCCAAGUCCCAUUUUCCCCAUCAUUUCUCCCCCGUGUCAUCCUAGCCCUUUCCCACUCUCCGAGGUCUCCUCAAAUCCCGUUCUCCACUCCCCCAGCUCUCCACUUCCAUUCUCCUCCAAUGCAUCCCAGUUUCCAAUUCCAUCCUCUCCAUUUCCUCUGAGUUCUCUCUCCACCAGUUCUCCACCCCCAUUCUCUCCUAGUUGUUCCCAGCUCACUCUUAAUCCUCCUUCUUUUCCUCUCUGCCCCUCCCCUUCUCCCCUCCCCUCCACUACAGCAGCCCCUCUCCUCUCUCUGGCUAGUGCCUUCUCUCUGGCUGUGAUGACUGUGGCCCAGUCCCUGCUGUCCCCCUCUCCGGGGCUCCUUUCCCAGUCUCCUCCAGCCUCUCCUGAUCCACUGCCUAGCCUGUCCACUGCCCUUGUUCCUUGUGACCAGGAGAGCCUUUCACCUCAAGCAGCUGAGAUGGAGAGUGAGGCCUCCCCAAAUCCUGCUUGGCCACUCCUGGGUGAAGCCAGACUGGCACCCAUCUCUGAAGAGGGAAAACCACAGCUUGUUGGGCGUUUCCAUGUGACUUCAUCUAAGGAACCAACGGAACCUCUUUCCUUGCAACCAACAUCCCCAACUCUCUCCAGUUCUGUAAAGCUUCCAACUCCUCAGCUGACCUCAGAGAGUUCAGACACAGAGGAUGGUGCUGGAAGUGGGCCAGAGACCAGGGAGGCUCUGGCGGAGAGUGACAGGGCAACUGAGGGUCUGGGGGAUGGAGUUGAGGAGGAAGGGGAUGAUGGGAAGGAACCCCGAGUUGGGGGCAGCCCCCCACCCCUGAUCCAUCCCAGCCCAGUGUGGAUGAACUACUCCUACAGCAGCCUGUGUCUAAGCAGUGAGGAGUCAGAAAGCAGUGGGGAAGAUGAGGAAUUCUGGGCGGAGCUGCAGAAUCUUCGGCAGAAGCACUUGUCAGAGGUGGAAACAUUACAGACACUACAGAAAAAGGAAAUUGAGGACUUGUACAGCCGACUUGGGAAGCAGCCCCCACCUGGUAUUGUGGCCCCGGCAGCUAUGCUGUCCAGUCGCCAGCGUCGCCUCUCCAAGGGCAGUUUCCCUACCUCGCGCCGCAACAGUCUGCAGCGCUCAGAGCCCCCAGGCCCUGGUGAGACUGCAGCUGCACAGUUUCCAUCUUUCCCAAAACCCCUUCCUUAUCAAUUCAGUUUUCUUGUAGGCCCUAGGGGACUAGCCUCCCUCUUCUCACUGGCCCUUCCCUCACUUAGUGCUCUCUGUCCCCCAUCCUGCUCCCAGGCAUCAUGAGAAGGAACUCCCUGAGCGGCAGCAGCACCGGCUCCCAGGAGCAGCGGGCAAGCAAAGGGGUGACAUUCGCCGGGGAUGUUAGCAGGAUGUGAAUUCAGAACAGAAGCCAUUUGUCUCCCCCCACACCAUGGCCCAACAUGGUGCUUGUGCUCUCUGAACCUGAUGCUUUUCUGACCAACUCAACUCGGCAAGAAAGACUUCAGUACUGAGGGGCAAACAGCCAGGGUUGCAUGGAGAAUGCAGUUGUUAUUUAUGAGUCAAACAUGGCAACUGUUUGCUUUGUGGAGGUGUCAGUUCUACAGCUACCAUCUUCAUUUCCAACCCCUCCCCAGCCAAAGGCCAACCACUAAGCAAUCCCACACAAGCUCGGAUGCUUCUAGAGGGCUCACUCCCAGAUGGAAGAGUGUAGGUGGUGUGCUCACAUCAGAAUUAGUGGCAGCCAAUAAAAAAUGCUGGAAAUAAGGA